GGCGCAAUGGCAGAGUGGUUAUGCAGCGGAUUGCAAAUCCGUGCACCCCAGUUCGAUUCUGGGCUGCGCCUCCA
rnacentral:tRNA from 1 species